rnacentral:rRNA from 1 species
CCUACGGGUGGCAGCAGUGGGGAAUAUUGGGCAAUGGGCGCAAGCCUGACCCAGCAACGCCGCGUGAAGGAAGAAGGCUCUCGGGUUGUAAACUUCUUUUAUCAGGGACGAAGCAAGUGACGGUACCUGAUGACUAAGCCACGGCUAACUACGUGCCAGCAGCCGCGGUAAUACGUAGGUGGCAAGCGUUAACCGGAUUUACUGGGUGUAAAGGGCGUGUAGGCGGGAAAGCAAGGCAGAUGUGAAAACGAUGGGCUCAACCCGUGGCCUGCAUUUGAAACUGUGUUUCUUGAGUGCUGGAGAGGCAGGCGGAAUGCCUGGUGUAGCGGUGAAAUGCGUAGAUAUUAGGAGGAACACCAGUGGCGAAGGCGGUCUGCUGGACAGCAACUGACGCUGAGGCGCGAAAGCGUGGGGAGCAAACAGGAUUAGAUACCCUAGUAGUC